rnacentral:rRNA from 1 species
ACGCAGGCGGUCUGUUAAGUCAGAUGUGAAAUCCCCGGGCUCAACCCGGGAACUGCAUUUGAAACUGGCAGGCUUGAGUCUCGUAGAGGGGGGUAGAAUUCCAGGUGUAGCGGUGAAAUGCGUAGAGAUCUGGAGGAAUACCGGUGGCGAAGGCGGCCCCCUGGACGAAGACUGACGCUCAGGUGCGAAAGCGUGGGGAGCAAACAGGAUUAGAUACCCUGGUAGUCCACGCCGUAAACGAUGUCGACUUGGAGGUUGUGCCCUUGAGGCGUGGCUUCCGGAGCUAACGCGUUAAGUCGACCGCCUGGGGAGUACGGCCGCAAGGUUAAAACUCAAAGAAAUUGACGGA